CCUUUUCCAGUUGUCACAUAUGACUGAAAAAGUCAUGGAAGUUCUUUGACAAUCCUGAUUCAUGAAUUACCCACAGCCUCUCCAGAUUUUGUUUCCCCACACAGAAUCUAUGGCUGAUUUUGGUUUGUUCUUCGUUGUGUUUAUUCAGAGGACGUCCUGGCGAAGGACGCAGGAGAAUGUGCAAUAUGUCUGGAGGAGUUGGUGCAGGGAGACACCAUCGCACGCCUGCCCUGCCUCUGCAUCUAUCACAAAGGCUGUAUUGACGAGUGGUUUGAAGUGAACCGAUCGUGUCCUGAACAUCCUUCAGAUUAACAGCGCCUCUCUCACCUUUGCACAGCCUCCUGGUCGUGAGAAGCGCCACUAUGUGAAUUCUCUUCCUCCUCAUAGACACUGUGAUUUUGGUCUCGGGACGGCCUGAUCGCCGAACGCCCCUCACUUCUCCCUCCCUAGUCGCCAUAUAAACCCUAGUGUGCCAAAACUCAUUCAGGGAAACUCUUUCCACAUCACAGUCCAGCUGAAACCCCAGCGGCGGUCGAGAGCUUCUACUCCAGCGCACCAUUGUCCAAUCAGGAUCUAGCAGAAGUUGAUUUCAUUGGCUGUUUGUUGACGUCUCUGAUUGGCCGGACUCAGGGUCAGCUGACUGUGUGGAUGAUUAUCGGAUGACCGGAGUCGAUUGUUCUCUGUUAAGUGGGACUGUGUCUCUCAGUGCCUUAAUUUUCAGAUCCCAAGAGCCGAAGCGACGGCUGCGUUUGGGAUGUUCUUCAGAGGAAGGGCUCGAAGGACUCGGAGAAAGACGCCUGGAUGUGACGGGACGUGAGCCCUGAUUCGGGUCGGCCCUGAGCCAUACUGAGCCAUUAUUUCUCUCUCUCUCGCUUCCCGGAUGGUGAAAUGUCCCGUGCAUCUCGAGUCUCGGAUCAAGAUUCACUGUAGCCUGUCACAUGACGUCUGCACCAUUUUUGCAAGUGCAUCACGUUUUGUUUGUGUUGAGACAAAUCUGGGCCUUAAUUCAACACACCACUGACUUCUGUCGCUGUAUGUAGAAUGAAUCUCAUCAAAACAUGUCAAAAUCAGAAGAAAAAAUACGAAAUUAU